rnacentral:rRNA from 1 species
GACGAACGCUGGCGGCGCGCUUUAUGCAUGCAAGUCGAACGGACCUUCGGGUCAGUGGCGGACGGCUGAGUAACGCGUAGGCAAUCUGCCCAGUGGUGGGGGAUAACUCGCCGAAAGGUGAGCUAAUACCGCAUAAGUUCGGUGGUUGAAAUACCACCGAGGAAAGCAGCAAUGCACCACUGGAGGAGCCUGCGUCCUAUCAGGUAGUUGGUGGGGUAACGCCUACCAAGCCGAUGACGGGUAGCUGGUCUGAGAGGACGACCAGCCAGAAGGGGACUGAGACACGGCCCCUACUCCUACGGGAGGCAGCAGCAAGGAAUCUUGGGCAAUGGGCGAAAGCCUGACCCAGCGACGCCGCGUGAGGGAUGAAGGCC